rnacentral:lncRNA from 1 species
UAUUGAAUCAAAUUCAGCACCUCAUGCUUCGAACUUUGAAUGUUGCAAUUGUUUGUUUGAUUAUUAGUUUUGAGAUGAGUAACUCUUUCUCUGUUUUUGAAAUUGCGAUAAUAUUUUUGACUUGAGGGUUGCACUAAUUUAGGGGGAGUCUUUCCAAUUUUGGUUAUGAAAAUUUCUGAAAUUCAAGAUGUGGAAAGAGUUACAUCCCUGCUGGGAGUGUGAAAACUACCACCACAUGGAAGAAAGAGCUACCACCCCGGUCGUCCGGUCAGUGUGUGCAGCUACCACAUGUUGAUUAAAGUAUCUAUGUAAGACAAAAGGAAAGUACCUUUCAGAGAGAAAUUUUUUUUUUAAAAUAAUAUGCUCAAAGAGCUAUACAUUUUGUAGGUGAUAUAAGGUGGAAUGUCAAUAAAAAGAUGCUCAAAGAGCCACUCCUGUCUCGUAUAUCGUGCAUAACUCAAUUUGAACAUAUUAUGUUAAUUUCACAAUUCUGAGAAUUAUUUAUUCAUUUUCUUUAACAAAAUAUGAUGGUAAAAUGAUACAAUAAGUUCCUAGAUCUUGUAUGAUGUGUGGGAUUUUAUUUGAUAUGUAUCAAGAAUUUUCAUUGAUUUUCGGGUCAACAAUUUUGUAAAUUUGAAUAUCUCUGAAAUUGAUUUUUCAAAAUUUAUUUAUGAAAUUUUAUUUGAAGUUUUUGGGCUGGAAAUUGGUUAUUUUUUAUGUUUGAACAUUGUGACAUAUCUUAUAAUUUUUCUGGAAUUUUCGGGCCUCAAUUUAAAAUUUUUAAAAAAUUCAGGCUCUGAGACCGGUCCCAGGCGAGAGAGACCGAUCCCUCCACCGGACCCGAUAAAGGGCUUAUCGCACGAUCUGUUUUUUGAGCGUGAUCUUUUUUCUCCUGCUUUCCUCCUUGGCACUUCUCUUGUCUACAGAUCAGGGUUUCCUCUUGUUUCUCCUUGGAUUGCAUUGAUUUUAGGUAUGAUUUUCGGAUUUUGUUGCGUUUAUGUCAUAUUCUCCGAAAAUGUAUCUUGUUUCAGAUUUUUUGAUGAGGGUUCUAAAGAUCUUGCUAAAAAUGCAUGUUUAUGCUUCGAUCUUGUUAUGAGACCUGUUGUUUUCAUCUUGUUUGGAAUCUCUUUAUUUUUUGGUCAAGUUUUGUAGUUUUUUUAUCAUCAAAACCUUGGUUUUCAAAGUUUUCGUGAAAAAUUAGUUUUUGCUGAUUUUGUUGCAUGAUUU